UAGUGGCCUGGGAACUGAAGAAUCGAGGGCUACACAGGGUGGAUGGCCUAGAGGCAGAACAGGUCCAGAGGGCAACCGGGAGGCAGGACAAAGGGUAAAGCAUCUCUGUGGCGCUGCGUAGCAGAGACUUCCAACGGGGUUGGGAGCCAUGGAGACCACGUCAGCUAUUGUGGCCUCCAUGGCAUCCUGUGAAGGUUGCCAAGCAGGUUCCCUCAGCAGGGGAUUGCCAGAUGUCAGGGUGGAUCCUCAAACAGUUCUUUGAAGGCUUGGAAGACUCAGGAGGGGCAGGCCACAAACCAAGCCUAUUACUGACUACCUGCAGACUGGGAAGCCAGUCGGAGGCUAGCAGGGAGGGGUACAUGGCUAGCAUUCUGGGGGUUAGCAGACCAGUAAUUAGACUGGCGGCUAGCAGUCCAGAUGGUAGCUGACUGCGAUGGUAGCUGGAGGCUAGUGGGCGUUACGCCAGCUGACAGGGAUGCAGACUGGAGAUUAGCUGGCUGGAAGAUAUCAGGCUUGAGGCUAGCAAACAGCAGGUUAGCAGACUCUGAGAGAGACAUGAGACCGAGGUAAAAUGCAAGCACAAACGUGGCAUUUAUUGUCUUCCAUACCAACAAGAGGAGACACCGACACCAACAAGCAACAAAAAACAACUUGCACUGGAAGUAACUUGCUGCCUUUUAUACACUCCCUCCAUCAGCUUCAUGGUUUGCUCCUGCAGCUCUUAAGCAGGUGCUUGGGCCUACAACACUCCUUUGCCUCCGCCCCCUGCUGAAGAGACAACCAGGAAGAGG